rnacentral:rRNA from 1 species
UGGGGAAUAUUUGACAAUGGGCGCAAGCCUGAUCCAGCCAUGCCGCGUGUGUGAAGAAGGCCUUUUGGUUGUAAAGCACUUUAAGCGAGGAGGAGGCUACUUGGAUUAAUACUCUAAGAUAGUGGACGUUACUCGCAGAAUAAGCACCGGCUAACUCUGUGCCAGCAGCCGCGGUAAUACAGAGGGUGCGAGCGUUAAUCGGAUUUACUGGGCGUAAAGCGUGCGUAGGCGGCUUCUUAAGUCGGAUGUGAAAUCCCUGAGCUUAACUUAGGAAGUGCAGUCGAUACUGGGAAGCUAGAGUAUGGGAGAGGAUGGUAGAAUUCCAGGUGUAGCGGUGAAAUGCGUAGAGAUCUGGAGGAAUACCGAUGGCGAAGGCAGCCAUCUGGCCUAAUACUGACGCUGAGGUACGAAAGCAUGGGGAGCAAACAGG